AGCUGGGUGUCCUACAAUUUAACUAGUUCUAACACUAUCUACCUAGAGAUGGUGUCAGAUCCCACAGAUUUAAGGGCUCAGUCCUACAACACUGCUCCCCACUCCUACUUCAG